ensembl:lncRNA
CUAAUUUAAAUAAUUCCCUUAUUCCCAUUGUUUCUAUACUAAGUCGAAGCCUUCCAGCUUCAUUUUAAAGAUUUUACAUAACUGCAUUCCUACGUACACUGGGGAUCUUGUUUCAAUCAUCACAGACUUUCUCCUAACCGCGGCUCUGAGAGUGUUUUCUUUAAGAUUUUCUUUCUUUUGUUGUGGGUUGUACAAAAAGGCUUUGUCGAAGUAGCCCUAAGCCUUGAAACUGAUCCUUGGUGGAAUCUACUACUGCAAGUAAGCACUGAAAGCAUUAGAUUUCUGAAAUGGAGUUCAUUUCAGUUGCUUGGAUACCAAUGGCAUCCUGGACUUCAUCAGAAGAGGAGUGGCCAGCAGGGACAGGGAGGUGAUUGUCUCUCUCUACUAUUCCCACGUGAGGCUCCAUCUGGAACACUGCAUCCAGGUCUGGGGCCCCCAAUACAGAAAAGAUGUGGAGCUGUUGUAGAGGGUCCAAAGGAGAGCCACACAGAUGAUCAGAGGGCUGGAGCACCUCCCCUGUGAAGACAGACUGAAGGAGCCAGGCUCAUUCAUGCUGGGG